GAACUAUGAUGUUUAUGACGUCACUCAUGGUAAACGCGUCCAAAAUGCGCUGUAAAGCAAAAAGAAAAUUAAAUUAAAAGACAGUGACAGUCAGUGGUCGGUCGUCUCGUGUCGUUGGUUUGAAUAGUUGAAUAAUUUUGUGACUGCAUUGUGUUUCUAUAUUUUUAUUCGUCUGCCAGUACGUCUGCAAGAUUUUGACAAGUAUUUUGUGGAUUAGGUUACAUGACACCAAAAUGAAUCUAUUCCAGUUUGCUAUUUUCUUAGGAUACUUUAGUAUUGGAUACUGUUACACAAAAUAUGGAAGAACUUGCAAAGACAUAGGAUGUCCCAGUACUCAAGAAUGUGUCAUGGCCACAGAUCCAUGUAGUUACUACCAUAGACAAGGGGAAUGCGGUUCCUAUCCCACAUGCCAAAGAGUUUCAAAUGCACCCAGGACAUGCUCUACGUACGUUUGUCCGCCUACCAAAGUAUGUAGAAUGGAUGGAGAUACACCAAAAUGUUUUGAUGAUGUGGGCAAAGUUGGCCAUGUAGGUUACGAGACUAGUGGAAACACUAAUCAUUUAUCACAAAGUGGACAUAAUGGUAAUCUGUAUCCUAAUCUACCAAAAGGAGAAACAACACCUAGGCCGAAUAUUAACAGACCAGUUAGUUCAGGUGGAUAUCAAGGAGGUCAAGUAGGUUCUGGUUAUCCAGGAGGACAAGUAAAUUCAGGUUAUCCAGGUGGCCAAGUAGGUUCAGGCUAUCCAGGAGGUCAAGUAGGUUCAGGCUAUCCAGGAGGUCAAGUAGGUUCAGGCUAUCCAGGAGGUCAGGUAGGAUCUGGAUAUCCUGGAUACACACAGCAAGGAGGUUAUCCCAGACAAGGAUAUCCACAACAAGGAUAUCCACAACAGGGUUAUCCACAACAAGGUAAUUAUCCACAAGGAUAUCCUCAACAGGGAUAUCCCCAAUCAGGAUAUCCUCAAUCAGGAUAUCCACAACAAGGUAAUUAUCCACGACAAACAGUUUAUCCACAGCAAUCAGGAUAUCCGCAGCAAGGAGCAUAUCCUGGAUAUAAUCAAGGUAAUCAAAGACAAACCGGAUACCAACAAUAUGGAGGAUAUCCACAAACCAACAAACCAAGCUCGGGGACUUCCAUAUCAGACAAAAUCACUAGCGGCCUUAAAUCCAUAGGGCUAUUCUGUGUUGUCUUGGUGUAUACCAGGUUAUUUAGUAUAUGAAAAUAGAUUUGUAUAAAUUUACCAAACUAAUAUACUUAAAUUCUACAAAAAUUCCCGGCUAUAAAUGUGGAUUUUUUAAUAAACUGCGUGUCAAGUAAAAGAAGAGAUAGUACUGCUAGGGAAUUCAUUUUGUACUCCAUGCAUGAUCCAUCAUUUUUAAUUAUUUUUUUAUUUUGUAUAAAAAGACUAAAUCCGUUUAUAAUUAUGUAAAUUAAUAAAGAUAUUAUAUUAUAA